CAAGGUAUGGAUGCUUAUUUUAGCCGGAGAGGUGUUUCCGUCAUCAUGGAUCUUCUCCUUUCUUUCACACAUCAUUUAUGAGUGAACAUGCUGACUGGUAUUCAGUUGGCCUUCAUAUCGUGUUGUUUUCUCUAUCCAGCGCGACUGUGGUAAGAUCAUCCACGUGUCAUCUCACAUGGAGACGGACGCCACGUUUUAUUUGGAGAUGGCUGGAGUCCUGAUGGUCGAGACGUCUACGACCUUCAAGGGGAUGACCAUCGCUGCAGAUGGAACGGUGUCGACCACGGAGCGAACUCACACCGUCAGUGUCCCCGCUCCUACCUUCCCUUUUCCUCAGCCUGGCUUCUCUCCUGAUGCUCCUGAUGCUGCUGGGCCUGAUGUUCCCUGUCUGGACUCUGCCCCCGGUCCUGACGGUGAUGCUGCCUCCUCUGCUGCCGCUCCGAGCUCUGCUCAGGGAUCAGGAGACAGCAGCCUGCUGCCUGAAGCCACGCAGGUUCCCUC
rnacentral:lncRNA from 1 species